rnacentral:rRNA from 1 species
GACUCGUCACACUAUCAUUAACUGAAUCCAUAGGUUAAUGAGGCGAACCGGGGGAACUGAAACAUCUAAGUACCCCGAGGAAAAGAAAUCAACCGAGAUUCCCCCAGUAGCGGCGAGCGAACGGGGAGGAGCCCAGAGCCUGAAUCAGCAUGUGUGUUAGUGGAAGCGUCUGGAAAGGCGCGCGAUACAGGGUGACAGCCCCGUACACAAAAGCGCAUGUGCUGUGAGCUCGAUGAGUAGGGCGGGACACGUGGUAUCCUGUCUGAAUAUGGGGGGACCAUCCUCCAAGGCUAAAUACUCCUGACUGACCGAUAGUGAACCAGUACCGUGAGGGAAAGGCGAAAAGAACCCCGGCGAGGGGAGUGAAAAAGAACCUGAAACCGUGUACGUACAAGCAGUGGGAGCACCCUUUGGGGUGUGACUGCGUACCUUUUGUAUAAUGGGUCAGCGACUUAUAUUCUGUAGCAAGGUUAACCGUAUAGGGGAGCCGGAGGGAAACCGAGUCUUAAUUGGGCGUUAAGUUGCAGGGUAUAGACCCGAAACCCGGUGAUCUAGCCAUGGGCAGGUUGAAGGUUGGGUAACACUAACUGGAGGACCGAACCGACUAAUGUUGAAAAAUUAGCGGAUGACCUGUGGCUGGGGGUGAAAGGCCAAUCAAACCGGGAGAUAGCUGGUUCUCCCCGAAAGCUAUUUAGGUAGCGCCUCGUGAAUUCAUCUCCGGGGGUAGAGCACUGUUUCGGCUAGGGGGCCAUCCCGGCUUACCAACCCGAUGCAAACUGCGAAUACCGGAGAAUGUUAUCACGGGAGACACACGGCGGGUGCUAACGUCCGUCGUGAAGAGGGAAACAACCCAGACCGCCAGCUAAGGUCCCAAAGUCAUGGUUAAGUGGGAAACGAUGUGGGAAGGCCCAGACAGCCAGGAUGUUGGCUUAGAAGCAGCCAUCAUUUAAAGAAAGCGUAAUAGCUCACUGGUCGAGUCGGCCUGCGCGGAAGAUGUAACGGGGCUAAACCAUGCACCGAAGCUGCGGCAGCGACACUCAGGUGUCGUUGGGUAGGGGAGCGUUCUGUAAGCCUGCGAAGGUGGCCUGUGAGGGUUGCUGGAGGUAUCAGAAGUGCGAAUGCUGACAUAAGUAACGAUAAAGCGGGUGAAAAGCCCGCUCGCCGGAAGACCAAGGGUUCCUGUCCAACGUUAAUCGGGGCAGGGUGAGUCGACCCCUAAGGCGAGGCCGAAAGGCGUAGUCGAUGGGAAACGGGUUAAUAUUCCCGUACUUGGUGUUACUGCGAAGGGGGGACGGAGAAGGCUAUGUUGGCCGGGCGACGGUUGUCCCGGUUUAAGCGUGUAGGUGUGUGUUCCAGGUAAAUCCGGUUCACUUUAACACUGAGGCGUGA